rnacentral:rRNA from 1 species
GACGAACGCUGGCGGCGUGCUUAACACAUGCAAGUCGAACGGAAAGGCCCUGCUUUUGUGGGGUGCUCGAGUGGCGAACGGGUGAGUAACACGUGAGUAACCUGCCCUUGACUUUGGGAUAACUUCAGGAAACUGGGGCUAAUACCGGAUAGGAGCUCCUGCUGCAUGGUGGGGGUUGGAAAGUUUCGGCGGUUGGGGAUGGACUCGCGGCUUAUCAGCUUGUUGGUGGGGUAGUGGCUUACCAAGGCUUUGACGGGUAGCCGGCCUGAGAGGGUGACCGGCCACAUUGGGACUGAGAUACGGCCCAGACUCCUACGGGAGGCAGCAGUGGGGAAUAUUGCACAAUGGGCGGAAGCGUGAUGCAGCAACGCCGCGUGCGGGAUGACGGCCUUCGGGUGGUAAACCGCUUUCGCCUGUGACGAAGCGUGAGUGACGGUAAUGGGUAAAGAAGCACCGGCUAACUACGUG